rnacentral:tRNA from 1 species
CUGGCCGUGGCGCAGCUUGGUAGCGCACCGCGUUUGGGACGCGGGGGUCGUGGGUUCAAAUCCCUCCGGCCAGACCA